rnacentral:rRNA from 1 species
GACGAACGCUGGCGGCGUGCUUAACACAUGCAAGUCGAACGGAAAGGCCCUGCUUUUGUGGGGUGCUCGAGUGGCGAACGGGUGAGUAACACGUGAGUAACCUGCCCUUGACUUUGGGAUAACUUCAGGAAACUGGGGCUAAUACCGGAUAGGAGCUCCUGCUGCAUGGUGGGGGUUGGAAAGUUUCGGCGGGUGGGGAUGGACUCGCGGCUUAUCAGCUUGUUGGUGGGGUAGUGGCUUACCAAGGCUUUGACGGGUAGCCGGCCUGAGAGGGUGACCGGCCACAUUGGGACUGAGAUACGGCCCAGACUCCUACGGGAGGCAGGAGUGGGGAAUAUUGCACAAUGGGGGGAAGCCUGAUGCAGCAACGCCGCGUGCGGGAUGACGGCCUUCGGGUUGUAAACCGCUUUCGCCUGUGACGAAGCGUGAAUGACGGUAAUGGGUAAAGAAGCACCGGCUAACUACGUG